UGCUCGACCCCAUCUUGUUACCAAUCGGCACCACCUCGGCAUCACCCCGCUUCCUUCAUCACCGCCGCCUCCACACACGCCCUCCGUACACACAAUGACCGCAGCCACCUCCUUCACACGCCCAAACCCCAUCACCCCAUCAUCGCUCGCUGCUCGCCCCUCUUCCCUUUUGCUCGGUAGAUCGGCCAACGCCGCCCAUCACCAUUGCAUAUCGCCGUCCCUCCGUGCACACCGUCACCUCCAUCACCAGCCCCACCUCGUCGUAGAAUGCCGCCUAUCCGUCCAUCGCCCAUCAUCGCCCUCGUCGUAGAACACCGCCCAUCGUUCGUGCCCCCCCUAUUGCUCAUCUUCGCCCUCUGCCGCUGUCACCCCAUCGGCGUGAUCUCUCAUCACCGUCCGUGCCACCAUCCAUGUCGCCAUCUGCUACCAUCCGCCCUCUGCCGUCCCCUCUCGCACCCGAUGGAAUUUGCUCGUGAAACAGGGAAAGAAUGUGCGGCUAUAUAUCAAAGCUCGCAGAUUUGAAGGAUUCUUCACUGGAACUGCUGUUAAGCUGCAAUCCGGAGAUACAAAAAUUUUAAAAUAGGAAUCGAAGAAUUUCAUUGUAAUGGCUUGGCUUCUCAACUUUAUGGUGCCUUCUGUUGCUCAAGAAGCUGACAACGGGGGAGACGAUUGGGCAUGGUAAAAUGCACAAUGGGCUCUACUACCUGGAUGAUGGGAAGCUAUAAAACUAUCAGAAAGCUGGUAUGGUUGUUUCAUCAUCUACUCAUGCCAUGAAUGAACUUCGGUUACAGCACCAUAGACUUGGACAUAUCUUUUUUUCUGUGUUAUCAAAACUAUUUUCCAAUUUAUAUAAUUCUUAUGCUAAAGAACAGUUAGUUUUUGAUGCGUGUAACUAUGCUAAGCACACUCGAAAUAAUUAUCCAACUUCAGAAACUCAUAGUAAUAAAUCAUUUGAAGUUGUUCACUCUGAUGUAUGGGGAUCCUGUAGUACUAUCUCUACUUCUGGACAUCGUUAUUUUGUGACUUUUAUUGAUUGUUACAGUAGAGUAA